GAAUUUCGUAAUGUUAAAUCGGCAACUGUUAAAUUUCGGGAACGACGUUACGUUUACAAAAAGGUACUGCCGCGAUACUUAACGUUCACAACACUUAGAAUGAUAUACUUAUCCCAAUAUCAGGCAAGUUAUUACAAAUUAUAGAUAUAUCACAAAUAUGUGUUUAAAAUUAAUACAAUGCAAUAUUUAUUUCACAGUGCAGAAUCAAAGUAAUCUUUACCACCAUUAUAGUGUUAAUAAGCACUUUAAAUGAUUUUAUUGUAUAUAUGGCCUGUAUCAUGAAUUGUUUUAGAUUCUUAUCUUGAGUAAACUGGUAUAAAUGGAAAAAAAUCUAUUUAUAUUUUCAAAAUUGUAGUUUUUAAUAGCAUAUGAUUAUACUUAUAAAAUUAAAACUGCAGAUAUCUUUAAUUUUUGGGUGACAAUGAAUUAAUUUGGAUUAAUGUGUAUACAAACAUGAUAUAUUUAUUGAAAAUGUUCACAUAUAUGUGAUGUUUAAUUUUUCUGGUCUGAAAAAAAAGUAUUUAUCUGU
rnacentral:lncRNA from 1 species